rnacentral:rRNA from 1 species
UGGGGAAUUUUGGACAAUGGGCGCAAGCCUGAUCCAGCAAUGCCGCGUGCAGGAAGAAGGCCUUCGGGUUGUAAACUGCUUUUGUCAGGGAAGAAAUCUUCUGGGCUAAUACCCCGGGAGGAUGACGGUACCUGAAGAAUAAGCACCGGCUAACUACGUGCCAGCAGCCGCGGUAAUACGUAGGGUGCGAGCGUUAAUCGGAAUUACUGGGCGUAAAGCGUGCGCAGGCGGCUUUGCAAGACAGAUGUGAAAUCCCCGGGCUCAACCUGGGAACUGCAUUUGUGACUGCAAGGCUAGAGUACGGCAGAGGGGGAUGGAAUUCCGCGUGUAGCAGUGAAAUGCGUAGAUAUGCGGAGGAACACCAAUGGCGAAGGCAAUCCCCUGGGCCUGUACUGACGCUCAUGCACGAAAGCGUGGGGAGCAAACAGGAUUAGAUACCCUGGUAGUCCACGCCCUAAACGAUGUCAACUGGUUGUUGGACGGCUUGCUGUUCAGUAACGAAGCUAACGCGUGAAGUGACCGCCUGGG